rnacentral:rRNA from 1 species
GACGAACGCUGGCGGCGUGCUUAACACAUGCAAGUCGAACGAUGAAGCCGGAGCUUGCUCUGGUGAAUUAGUGGCGAACGGGUGAGUAACACGUGAGUAACCUGCCCUUGACUCUGGGAUAACUGCGGGAAACUGUAGCUAAUACCGGAUACGACCCUCGGAGGCAUCUCCUGGGGGUGGAAAGAAUUUCGGUCAAGGAUGGACUCGCGGCCUAUCAGCUAGUUGGUGAGGUAAAGGCUAACCAAGGCGACGACGGGUAGCCGGCCUGAGAGGGUGACCGGCCAGACUGGGACUGAGACACGGCCCAGACUCCUACGGGAGGCAGCAGUGGGGAAUAUUGCACAAUGGGCGCAAGCCUGAUGCAGCAACGCCGCGUGAGGGAUGACGGCCUUCGGGUUGUAAACCUCUUUUAGCAGGGAAGAAGCGAAAGUGACGGUACCUGCAGAAAAAGCACCGGCUAACUACGUGCCAGCCGCCGCCGUAA